rnacentral:tRNA from 1 species
GGAGAGAUGUCCGAGCGGUUUAAGGAGCUGGUCUUGAAAACCAGUGACACAGCGAUGUGCCGUGGGUUCGAAUCCCACUCUCUCCGCCA